rnacentral:rRNA from 1 species
UCAUGUCGAACGAUGAAGCCCUUCGGGGUGGAUUAGUGGCGAACGGGUGAGUAACACGUGGGAAAUCUGCCCUGCACUCUGGGACAAGCCCGGGAAACUGGGUCUAAUACCGGAUAUGACCUUCCUCUGCAUGGGGGUUGGUGGAAAGCUCCGGCGGUGCAGGAUGAUCCCGCGGCCUAUCAGCUUGUUGGUGGGGUAAUGGCCUACCAAGGCGACGACGGGUAGCCGGCCUGAGAGGGCGACCGGCCACACUGGGACUGAGACACGGCCCAAACUCCUACGGGAGGCAGCAGUGGGGAAUAUUGCACAAUGGGCGAAAGCCUGAUGCAGCGACGCCGCGUGAGGGAUGACGGCCUUCGGGUUGUAAACCUCUUUCAACAGGGAAGAAGCGGAAGUGACGGUACCUGCAAAAAAAACACCGGCUAACUACAUGUCAGCAGCCGCGGGAAUACCUAGGGUGCGAGCGUUGUGCGGGAUUAUUGGGCGUGACGAGCUCGGAGGCUGCUUGUCACUGCUGGUGUGAAACGCCUGGGCUUAACCUCGGGUCUGCAUUCCAUUCCGGGAGGGUUGACUGUGGUAUGGGAUAUCGGAAUUUCCUGGGGUCGGAGAAAUUGGGAUGAUAUCAGAAGGAACACCGUGGGGAAAGGCGAAUCUGUGAGCCUUCAUAGACUUUGAUGACAAAAUUCGUGGGGAGAAAACAGAGAUUAUAUACUCUGGUUUUCCACCCCAUACUCUUUGCACACUAGGUUAUGGAGACUCACGAGAUCGGCUGUUCCCACCGUAUGCUUCAUAAUGAUCUCCGGCGUGUUGAUCUUCUCCCACAGGUUAUUACUCUCUCGUUUUCAGCGGUGAGCCCUCACAAGCAAAGGAUGUAGGUGGUUUAUUUAAGCCGCGGUUUAACACCCUUGACGAGGACUGGCUACCCACGAGAUUCUUACAAAAAAUGCUCCCCAAAUUUGAUCCAAACAAAGGUAGAACAUGUUUGUCAGCAACUUAGUGAGGGGGUAUGUUCGAUUAACGUCACGAAACGGAGAC